CAAACCUUUUAAGUGUGACACUUGUGAAAGAAGCUUUGCUCAGAGGAACUCCCUCAGACAGCAUUUAAAAAUACAUACAGGUGAGCGUCCGUACAAAUGUACAGUAUGUGGUAAACAGUUCACUCAGCUCGGCGCUCUCCAGCGGCACCAACGGAUCCACACGGGAGAGAAACCUUUCAUGUGUGCUCUCUGUAAACGAACUUUUACUGACCUGUCCACCUUUCGCAGGCACACUUCGGUUCAUGACAUAGAAGCUCCAAGGAAGA